UCCCACAGAGUUUAAUAGAACAACAACAACAGAAAUAUCUUCAGAGUUCAACACAAUGGAAAAGAUCACCUAUGACCCAACUUGGAUGCCAGAAUUUGAGAAUUCUUAAAAGAAAAAUAACAGAAAGAAGGACAAACUCAUACUGUGGGACCUAGAACGAUAACUGUGAUUACUGAAUAG